UCCUCGAGUUAUCCUCCUCCCAUCUUUUUUCUCUUCUAAACCAAAGAAAUCAAAUCCCCGUUUUCAGAAAUCAAAAGAUUAAAAAAAAAUCCAUUUCUCCUGAACCCAAUCAAAUCUUACAAAUCGAAACUAUGUUCUCUCACAAAUCAACAUCUCUGCCAAACCCUUGCUGCGGCUAAAUCAUGUAAUGUUCGUAAACAAUGGGUUAAUAAAGAUCGAGAAGAAGACGAAGCAGGUGAGGAAGUUAGUUUUGGGUUUGAACUAAGUUUGGUGUGUGGAUUUGGUUGAAUUAAGUUUGGUGUUGCUGAAAAAUCCGAGAAGAAAGAGAGAUGGGAUUGUUUUGAGGUUUGGGUUUGAACUGAGUGGAAUCAGUAAAGACCAUUCUUUCAACCACUCAAACCCUAGAAUUCGGUUUCUUCUCAAUGGAUCCUGCAGUGCUGCAGAUUUUUGGGUUUAGUUGGUGGUGGUGCCUCAUUUUCUCAGUGUUUGUGAUAUAAACUCUGGAUCUGCUAUGAGAAUGGGUGGUGGUGGAGGUGAUGCAGGGAAAGGGAAGUUUGAAGUCUUCCAUUCCUUUGGGUAGAAGUGGUCUUAGGUACAGAGCUCUUGGUCACUGGCAUCAAACAGAUGUAUUUCGGCUUAUGAUUCUCUCAUUUGAUGGACGUAUAUGUCCUGCAAACAUUUGAUUGAUAAUUGGAAGCACUUGAUAAGUUUGGUCUUACAAGUGCUAUGUAUCUGAUCAAUUUCCACUUAACAAGGUAUAUGUUCAAAUUUCAACGUGGUAGUAACCAAAACGAUGAUACCUGAGAAGCUUUGUCAUGGUGAAUCCUAUCUACUAAGGGAGGAUAUGUCGAAACUCAUUCUUGUAUCUUGAUCCUCAUUGGUGUGCAUUUUGCUGGUCAGUCAAUUACUUGCAAUGGUUAUUGGAUAUCUUGUAACAAGUGAACCAAUGCAACCAGUACAUCGGAACAAUUGUUGAUAAUGGCCAGUAAGUACACCAGAACACCACCAGUGCUUUUCACUUCAUCUGGAAGGGAUGCUAGGUGUUGUAUUGCUUCUCUUUAAGUACAUGCUUAUUCAUGUAAUGUGAUGCUUCGUGCUUUUUUUAAUGUUAGAUUCUUCACUCUUAAAACCCAAGCUUUUUGUGCAACUGUAGAUUGUUCACUAGGUUUAGCCCAACAAUGCGUGGCUGUCAGUUGUUAUCCCCCGAAUCAAAACUUAUAAACUUCGUUGGAGUUUCACUAGGGCCUUUGAGGUAGGAUCCACGGUAAUCAUUUUUAUUAAGUUAGGUUUCCAGUCUGUUGUUUAACCUUAGGAAUUUUUUUUUAUCAAGUUUUGAUCAUGUUGUGUAAUUUCUAGUCAGUUAUCCCUCCAUUUUGUUGGUUAAUUGGCAGGCAAGACAAUCAUAUAUAUUAAGCGUUGGAAAUUGCAGGGUCAUUCUAAUAAUCAACUGAUUUCAGAUUAUUAGAAUAUUAGAUUAUUAGAAGUACUUGGCGUCAACUUUGACACUGUUGGUUAAGUGCAGCCAUAGCUACUGUAUUCAUCAACUGAUGGUUCUUGUCUGCAUAAUCUCUAUUAUAUAGGAUUUUUUGAUAUUUAAUGGAGAUAUUCUAGUGGUGAUGCCUUCACUGUAUUGAUUUUACAAGUAGAUUACCUGAGCGUAAUGAUUACUUGGACUGAUUUUGCAUAGAGGAAACACCAGCCUGGUUGAUUACUUAGACAAUUGUAGUACUAGGAACUGUAUUUCCAUUUGUAUAGAGGAAACACUAGACUAAUUUUGAUUGCGUAGAGGAAACACUAGACUGAUUUUGAUUACUUGGACAGUUGUUGUACUAUGAAUUGUCUUUCCAUUUGCUUUAGAAAUCAAAAUGUUGAAUGCUUGCUUGCUUGUAUAUAGUCUAUUAUCAAGACGAUAAACCGGCGAUAAACCGACACGGAAAACAGUAUGUAUCCUUAGCUUAAAUGCAGCAUGAUUUAUCUUUCUUUUGAUUGAGCCUAUCGCUUAACUUGUGAGUUUACAAUUUGAAAAUUGCUCAUGUUGCCAAUGCAGCAAAAAAGAAGAAAACUGGGCAUGUGAAAGAGUACACCGUGAAGCAUAUGAAGAUAGAGUUGGGCCAAUCGAUCGAAAUGGGAACCAUACAUGAAGGCGUUUCUGUCCCCACCUUGGGCAUGACCAGCCAAGCUGUUUAAUGAUCUGAUGCAUGGACCAUGGGUUUCUUAUUGCUUCUGGCCUCUCAUUUUCCUUACUAGAGUCUGUUUGUCUCUCCCAAUUCAAAUUAUAGCUUCUUCGUCGAGAUCCAGUUUUUUGUUCUUAUGUGAAGAGUGAAUGCUUAGAUGUGUAUGAAGGUUCAUAUUUAGAUUUAUCCUAUGGAUAUGAUCAAGUUGUUGAUUUUACUUGGUCAUUCUCUGAGAAAGUGUUUAUAUACUCUUGAGAAUGAAAUAUACGCUAGAUGAAUACUACCCGUAAACUAUAAAUGAGUUCUAGAUUUCAACGUAUUAUUUGUAUUCCCUACUUGAUACCAUUGUUGGUUUUAUAGAACUUAUCUAAUGGUAACAUAGAGGCAUUGCUUUCCUGAAUUGUUAUUCAUAAUUGGAAUGUCGGUUUUUAUUCUUGAGUGUUGUCAUUGUUUACAAGGUGGCUAAUGCUAAGUUGGUGCUACCUUUUUCUUAGGUUAUGCAAAGGGAUUACAAGCAGAGCUCAUAUUCAACUCUGUUUCAGCGCACUUCCUGGAGAGCAGGAGAGAUCAGUUUAGGAGUCUUGACAAAGAUAGAUCUCAUGGAUAAGGGUACUGACACUGUUGAUGAAUGAGAAACUUAAGAUUGCGGAAGCUUUGUCUGUAAUGCUGUUGUAGCCAACUGCGAAUCUCUCAUCAUGUUGUUCAACUGGUUUCUUGCUUGCUCAUCAUGCACUUUAAGACUUUGGUUGAGAAGGCGGCUUCAAAGACGUAAUUUAUGAAGGUUAAGGAUGAAUUGGUUCCUGACUUCCUGUCACUGUGCCAAGUGCAGAAAAAGAAUCGACCUUGUUCUGAAUGUAAUUAUUGCGUAUAUUCAAACUAAGUUCAUAAUUUUGUGGAAUGUUGCAAGGGUUAGUGCAGGUCAGGUUUAAAUAUUAUUUGUAAUAGAAAAUACCAGAUUUUAGUAAUAUAUAUUUCUUUAAAAACCUGGUAAACAUAA